AACUAUGAUGCAAUUAAUAAAACAGUAAAGAGUAAACAGUAAAGUCUGAGAGCAGCAAGAGAAAAGGACCUGCGUUGAAGAAACCUGUCACUGAAGGAGGACAGCCCACUAGGCGGAGCCCAAGAGAGAGCAGCUUCAAGUUACCAAGAUCGCUGAAGGACCAUCAUGCCCUUCGUUCAUUUACAUGUACAUGGAUAAGAAGUCCAUCCAUUGUGCUGAUGCAAGUAGUUUUGAAAACGGCUGAAAAAUGUUGUGCUGGACAAACCAGAGAAAAUGCAGAGAGUGAGGAUGGCACUCUGAAUCUACAGGGGAUGGAUCCUGAGGCCAUACCUUACCAUGGCCUUAAAAGCAUAAUUUCCUCACUUG